AUAAUAAUGGCUAUUAUUUAUUAAGCAUUUGCUAUGUGCCUUGCUCUGAGCUAAAUGUUUAACAUACAUUCUUUUGUUUAAUGCUCACAAUACUUAUGUGGAAUAAUUUUUUUCAAAUGGGGAAACAGAUUUAAAAUUGGAAAAUAAUUGCUUAAAUUCCCAUGAAUAAUAAUAAGUUCAUCUGAGCACAGGUGUGUCCCAUGUCCGACUCUUAGCUCUGUCACCUCCUGUCCCAAACAAUGUCACUGGUUUGAGCCCACAGUUACUUACACCUGCGUAACAAGACCAUAAAUAAGAAUAUCUUGAAAUAUACAACAGCAGGCAAUCUGGGGGGCUUGUGUAAGCAAUUCUGCAAAUACUUGGAGUGAAGAGGCAGUAGUCAUUGGUGGCAUCAUGCCACAGGUAAGCAUUUAAAUGUUAGAGAUGCUUUCAUUUGAUUGGUAAAGCAAUAUUCUCAAACUUGAUCUCAUACACCAUGCUAAUACAUCUCUAGAUCAGUAUACCUGUAGGUCAGUGGCACAGAUGUCCAAAGUGUGCUUUAAUAAAAUGCAAACACUGAGUGUAUUUUUGAGGCUGGAGUUGUGUAUUCCUCUUUGUGAGAAAAGCAGGAAUUUUUUUUCUCAUUAGUGCUUGAGGCAAGCUUGAAAUACAAGUUAAUAGGACUCAAAAUUAUCUCCAUCUAAUGUUUUUAAAGGCAAUCUUCUUUAACGUAAUCAGAGGAAAAUAGUAUACUUCGGAGACCAAAAAAAAGUGGCAUAUCUUAGAUCAAAGGUUUUUCCUGGUGAUUGUGUUUGAUUAUCUUUUAAAAAUAUGCAUAAGAGUUUCUAGAAUGCAGCAAUUGGAUUUUUUACUUUCUAUACUUCUAAUUCUGACUUUUAUAUCAUAAGACAAUUGGUGUGUCUGUUUAUAAUGAUGGUAAUCCAGAAGGGCGAGACUAUAUUUUCUUAAUUUUUCAUGAAUACAUUUAUUUCUAGAACUGUAACUAAGGUUUUUCAAUAGCUUCACUGAGAACACAGCAUGCUGCUGGCUGGUCCCCAAGUUUCUGGUGCCUUCUCAGUCUCAUUUAUGAGAAGAUAAAAUGAGAAGUCCUACGCACCCAAGCAUAUGAUCCUGGUGUAUGUGUGCUUUGAAGAACAGCAAAAGUCCAGGAAAGAACAUGACCCCAGAGUUGAAGGCAGUAAAGAGUCGGUCAACAUCUGUCCUAGGGAAGAAUGACUGGAUUUCCCUGUGCUAGAAUUUCUAUAGAAGGGGUCCACCUGGAGAACAUGCUCACCCUCUCCCAUGGAACCUUUGAUUCUGUGGCAGUGCCCUGUGUGUAUGGGCCACUCUUCACUGCCACUCCAACAAGCAGCAAGGUUUCCAGGGCAGCAGAUUGCUUCUAGCAAACACCACUAACACCUUCCCAGGACUCCAACAACCAGCAGGUGAAACAUCACUUGCUGCUGCUGCUGCUGUCCCCAUUGUCCUUGCUGUGGUUCAUCUGGGAAGAACAACAACAAAGAAAACUUUUAUUAGCAGAGAGAAAAUAAGACGGAUAAUCCUUGCCUUCCUGGAGGUUCUGUAAGUCAGACUGGCCUGCCCUGUGAGGACAGCAUUCUUUCCUCUUUAUCUUCUUUAAUGACUGCUCUGCUAAUCACACCUGACUCCUGUUAUCAAUCCUGUGGUUGUAUCUUUUCAGGGUUUUUACUGUGGUCAGAGGUUUCCAGAUACUCUAUUAUUAUUAUGAAAAAGAAGCAUUGUCAUUAUCGGACCUAACUUGGGACACAGAACAAUGAACAAUUUUUCAAAAGGAAGGAAUCUAGCAGAUAUUCAGCUCUUGUAUCUUUUUACUUUGCAUCCUGAGAAAAGGCAUCUACCUCGGUGACAGGAAUUCAAGGGAAAAAAAAAAAAACCCUGAAAAACAGACACAGAGUCUUUGGGACACUGAGAGGUUGGCCACUGUGUGUCUUCAGUCAUGCUUUGCAUUAUGCCACACCAGGACUCUUGCGUCCUUCUGGAUCCAUUUGGAUGUCACGUAAUUAUUUGCAAGGAUCAAGGUUGUCACACAUGGGCUAUUCACUUGGAAUCUUUUGAAGAGCAGAGCAAUAUUGCAUUGUAGACUUCAUGGCAAAUAUUUUUCAAAAGCAAUGUGUAGGUUCAUCUGUGCUUAUAUAUCCGACACUUUAUUCACAUAUGGGUUGAGAGCUUGUAUACUACGUUAAAUAUGAAUUACAUGAGGGAUAUAUUCAAGGUACUUGAGAAGCUUGCUCUGCUGCUGUCUAAUAAAAGGCCACUCCUGACUUCUUAUGCAGGACAGUGUAGAUGUGGCUUUCUAUGAAACAGCAUGUAGGUAUUGCCAUGUCUGUGUGAAUAUCAGCCAUUGCUACAACCAGGAAGUUCAUAAGCACAUGCGCUUUCUGUAGGAGAUUCAGCUUUGAGCUCUUUUCUCUGCAUUAAUCACAACCUUCUCUGGGCUUUCACAGCACUUGACACACAUACUAAUACUGCAACAGUUAACAGUUUCUUAGUGAUUAUCACUUUUUACACAGCGACUCUCUCACCCUCCUGCUGGAAUGAAAGCUACUGCAGGGCAGAAACCAACUUAUUUAUGUCUGCAUUUUCAGAGCUCAGCACAUGGCAUGCCACCCCCCCCCCAUUCCAUGUCCUCAAUAAAUGUUUACGGAAUGAAUUAACACAGAAACGGAAAACCAAAUAUCACAUGUUCUCAUUUAUAUAUGGGAGCUAAGCAUUGAAUACAUAGGGCAUAAAUAGGGCAACAGUAGACACUGGGAACUCCAAAAGAAAGGAGGGAUGGAG
rnacentral:lncRNA from 1 species